AUGGAGCUCGUAGCACUGCCGUUGCUCGGUUUGCUGGCCUUCUUACUCGCCGACCUCGUCGUCAAGAGGGUGUACGCGCACGCUUCACCGUCGCCACAGAAGCGGCUGCCGCCCGGGCCAUGGCAGCUGCCGCUCAUCGGCAGCCUCCACCAUGUCCUGCUGUCCCGCCACGACGCCCUGCCGCACCGGGCCCUGAGGGAGCUCGCCGGCAGGCACGGCCUGCUCAUGCUGCUCCGGUUCGGCAUCGUGCCCAUGCUGGUCGCCUCCUCCGCCGAGGCCGCCAGGGAGGUCCUCAAGACGCACGCCGCCGCCUUCGCCAGCCUCUACAUGACGCACAUGCUGGCCGUCUUCACCCACGGCGGGCAGGACGUCCUCUUCUCCCCCUACGGCGACCUCUGGCACCAGCUCCGCUGGGUGUGCGUGCUCGAGCUCAUCAGCGCGCAACGCAUCCAGUCCUUCCGCCACAUCCGCGAGGACGAGGCCGGCGGCCUGCUCCGCUCCAUCGCCAACGAGUGCGCCCGCUCUCGCUCCGACGGCGCCGUCGUGGAGAUCGGCGAGCGGCUGGCGCGGGUGGUAAACAACAUCGUGGUGCGGUCGGCCUCGGCCGUCGGCAGCCGGUGCGCGCGGCGUGAGGAGUUCCUGCACGAGCUCGACGAGAUCACGAGGCUGACGGCCAGCAACAGCCUGCCCGACCUGUUCCCGUCGUCGACGCUGGUGCGCUGGCUCGGCAGCGGGCUUCGUGAGGCCGAGCAGUGCAACCGCAACGCGCACGACAUCCUGGGCGACAUCUGCAUCCGCGAGCGCGCCGAGGGCGGCCAAGGCAGCGGCGACGACGGCGAGGACGACCUGCUCGGCGUGCUGCUGAGGGUGCGGAAGGAGGACGGCGGCGUGAAGUGCGCCGUCACCACGGACGCCAUCAUCACCGUCGUCCUGGAGGUUUUCGCGACCGGGAACGAGACGUCGGCCACGACGCUGGAAUGGGCCAUGUCGGAGAUCGUGAAGGAGCCACGGCUCCUCUGCAAGGUGCAGGCCGAGGUCCGGGAGGUGUUCAAAGGCCAGCAAAAGUUGACCGAGGGCGACAUGGGGAAGCUGAGCUACCUCCACCUGGUGAUCAAGGAGACACCGCGGCUGCACACGCCGGUGCCCUUCCUGCUGCCCCGGCAGUGCCGGGAGGCGUGCGAGGUAAUGGGCUACCACGUCCCCGAGGGGACCAGGGUGCUCGUGAAUGCGUGGGCCAUGGCCCGGGACGGCGCGUACUGGGAGGACGCCGAGGUGUUCAAGCCAGAGAGGUUCGAGGAGGGGAGAGCCGCCACAGUGGACUUCAGGGGCGGCGACAUCAAGUUCAUCCACUUCGGCGCCGGCAGCAGGAUGUGCCCCGGCAUAGCGCUCGGCCUGGCCAACAUGGAGCUCGUGCUCGCGGGCCUCCUCUACCACUUCGACUGGGAGCUCCCCGAUGGCGGGAGGCCGGAGGAGCUCGACAUGGCUGAGGUGUUCGGCUUGGCCAUACGGAGGAAGUCUGGGCUCGUGCUCGUGCUGCGCGCCACACAACGUAUUCCAGUCGCAAAUUGA
rnacentral:rRNA from 1 species